AACAUUACUUAGAAGUGGAUGCGAUGAUUGUCAGGAUAUGUGAGCCAUGCUUGGAUAAUGUUCAUCAUGGGUCUGGGCAAAGUUCUCCAUAAAUGAAGACAAAACCUUGACAGUGACUGAGGAACGGAAGUGGAUGCUGAUGUGUUUCCAGAGCUGGUUACCAAGGACAUGUGCUUAGUCAGCCAUGAUUCUGAUGAAGGUUCUUCAAGACUUCAGCCUUCUUGUUGGAUCUGAAACAUCUGCAAGACAUCUGGAAAGAGGGC